GUAUGAAAACACAUAAUACAAAAUAAAAUGACCUCACUUUAAAUGGGUAUGAUAGUAUGCUGUUUUUUUCACAGCAUCCCAUUAUUAAAAGUGGAGACAGAU
rnacentral:snoRNA from 1 species